UACGUAGGGUGCGAGCGUGUCCGGAAUUAUUGGGCGUAAAGAGCUCGUAGGCGGUCUGUCGCGUCUGCUGUGAAAACCCGAGGCUCAACCUCGGGCCUGCAGUGGGUACGGGCAGACUAGAGUGCGGUAGGGGAGAAUGGAAUUCCUGGUGUAGCGGUGGAAUGCGCAGAUAUCAGGAGGAACACCGAUGGCGAAGGCAGUUCUCUGGGCCGUAACUGACGCUGAGGAGCGAAAGCGUGGGGAGCGAACAGG
rnacentral:rRNA from 1 species